GUCGGGUUUGGGGGCACUGUACUUAAAGAAAGAGGAGCAAGCGUGUUUGGGGUGGACUCCUGUGGCGGUGAUGACACCAUGCCAGCUCAGCCUGCAACUGUCUUGGCUUUGGUUCACUGCGUUUGCAAGGUCAUGCUGGGAACCACGCUAGAAAUGUUUCCAGGCUCUGCACCCUGGGACAGAAACGACACGCGACAACCACUGCCUGCCAGCUUCAAACCUCGGGAUUUCCCUCUGCAUGCGGGUCUUCUCGCGCUGGGACUCUGGUCCUCAUCUCUGCUGCUUUCUGGGCUGGCCCAAGGGCUGGCACCCAAGAAUCGAGGAGACGAUGCCAGAGAGGACUGGUACAUCCAGACAGAGCCCUCAAGGUGUCCUCACUACCCACCCACGGUCUCCGCAGCUGCCACUUCACCUGCCCAGGUAUCAGACAACCGUCCGCUGUCUAUAUGAGGUUGGGGCGCAUCCUGCCUUCCAGGCUGACUCUGCACCUUGAGCUGCGAACAGUCUCCACAGACGACCAGCUCCCGCCAGCCUCUCACGGGCGAGGGGCAUCUCUCGGCCGGGACGAGCACAGUGCCAGGGUGCCAACCCACCGGCACUAGUGCGGUUCCCUCCCCGUCACCAG
rnacentral:lncRNA from 1 species